GACGAACGCUGGCGGCGUGCUUAACACAUGCAAGUCGAACGGUAAGGCCCUUCGGGGUACACGAGUGGCGAACGGGUGAGUAACACGUGGUUGAUCUGCCCUGCACUUCGGGAUAAGCCUGGGAAACUGGGUCUAAUACCGGAUAGGAAUCCGUACUGCAUGGUCAGGGGGGGAAAGCUUUUGCGGUGUGGGAGCGGCCCGCGGCCUAUCAGCUUGUGGGUGGGGUGAUGGCCGACCAAGGCGAGUACGGGUAGCCGGCCUGAGAGGGUGACCGGCCACACUGGGACUGAGAUACGGCCCAGACUCCUACGGGAGGCAGCAGUGGGGAAUAUUGCACAAUGGGCGCAAGCCUGAUGCAGCGACGCCGCGUGAGGGAUGACGGCCUUCGGGUUGUAAACCUCUUUCAGCAUCGACGAAGCGAAAGUGACGGUAGGUGCAGAAGAAGUACCGGCCAACUACGUGCCAGCCGCCGCCGUAA
rnacentral:rRNA from 1 species